UUUUACAUGAUGAUACAACUCAGCUCACUCAGAUCAAUUAUGAUAGAUAACAUUUCCUAUCCAACAUUCAUCAAAACUGACCUAAGA
rnacentral:snoRNA from 1 species